rnacentral:rRNA from 1 species
CCUACGGGCGGCAGCAGUCGAGACUCAUUCACAAUGGGGGAAACCCUGAUGGUGCGACGCCGCGUGGGGGACUGAAGGUCUUCGGAUUGUACACCCCUGUCAUGUGGGAGCAAAUUAAAAAGAUAGUACCACAAGAGGAAGAGACGGCUAACUCUGUGCCAGCAGCCGCGGUAAUACAGAGGUCUCAAGCGUUGUUCGGAAUCACUGGGCGUAAAGCGUGCGUAGGCUGUUUCGUAAGUCGUGUGUGAAAGGCGCGGGCUCCACCCGCGGACGGCACAUGAUACUGCGAGACUAGAGUAAUGGAGUGGGAACCGGAAUUCUCGGUGUAGCAGUGAAAUGCGUAGAUAUCGAGAGGAACACUCGUGGCGAAGGCGGGUUCCUGGACAUUAACUGACGCUGAGGCACGAAGGCCAGGGGAGCGAAAGGGAUUAGAUACCCGAGUAGUC